UCAGGUCGAGAAGGUUCAGACGGUGAAGAUGGAGGGCAAGAAGAAGAAACGGGGUGGGUUGUUCAUUACAAAAAGGCCUAGCUCACUCUCAAGAACCCGCUCCCAAUUUCCCCAGAUCUCUAUCCGAUCCGAAUCAUUGAGAAGACCCCACCAAAUGGCUUUAUGCAUACCAUCAUUUUAAGAAUAUUUUAUCCUUUAUAAAAAUGAUUUUUAAAUUAUCUUUUCAAAAAAGUUCUGAAACAUACUUUUGAAACAAAUUUUAUGAAUUUCGAGUUUAUCAUUCUAAAAAUUAAAAGAAUGUGUUAUAAAAAAAAUAUUUUAGAAUGAUUUUUUGACUUUUAGAUUUUCUAUUCCGAAAACAUACUUUGCUUACAAAAUUCCUAUUUCAAAAACACCUUUUACUUCCAGAAUUUCUAUUCCAAAAUCAUCAAAAAUUAUCAAGAAUAAUUCUAGUAUUUCAAAGAAGGUAGAGGUGCAGGAAGAAAUACCUUAACAAGAGGGUCAACAAGUAGCGCCGUCGCCCACACCAGGAGUCACAGGCUUGAUGACAGGAAGGAGGCCCCACAGCCCUUCAAGGCCCCACAGUCCUUCAAGGUCCAACAGCAUGAACGUUUGGGCAGGCCCGAGAGUGAACUUUGAUGUUUAAUUGAGUUGACAGAAUGGUAUAGGACUCUUUUUUCCUACACCUCCAUACCUUCUUGUGCCACCCCAUACUAAAUAUGAAAAUACCAUUUUAUCCUUUUUUUUCACCCCCUUGGAUUUGAAAUAAUAAGCCUAUGGAUUAUGUAAUCCGGAUAAAUUCCGGAUUACAUAAUUCGAAAGUCAAUUUCAUAUUUAGAAAAGACUUCCGGAUUAUGUAAUCCGAAAGCUAAUAACACAUCGGAAAAAAAGACUUCCGGAUUACAUAAUCCGGAAGCUAAUCUUAUGUAUAGAAAAGACUUCCGGAUUAUGUAAUCCGGAAGCUAAUCACAAAAGACUUCCGGAUUACAUAAUCCGGAAGCUAAUUUUGAAUCUAAAAAAUGACUUCCGGAUUAUAUAAUCCGGAAUAUUGAAAAGGGUAUUUUUGGAAUAAGAAAAAUUUAUGGGGGUGGCACAAGAAGGUAUGGAGGUGCAGGAAGAAGCAGCCAUGCUAUAGUUUCUUCGUUUUAACGAAGACUGUGAAUCUUUACAAAAUUCUGGUAGGGCCCUAGUGUCUAAUGUUGGAUAGAGGAGUCUCUAUAGAAGGAUGUACUGGAUAGACUGUCUAGUCUGGGUAAACUGUCCAUUAUAAAUUAUUCAUAGCCGUUUACUCUGUGUUUCAGAAUAGACGGUGUAUUGUUUAUAGCCAAAGUUAAUUCAUUCCAGACGGAGCAGCAAGGAGGAGGUUGCCCUUGCUAAUGAAAGGAUAUUCAUAAAGAGCCAUUUAAGUAUGUUCACUAGGCACAAUCAUGGAAUUGACUACUAAAAUGUAAAGAUGCAGAUGAGGCAGACAUGCUUUCAUACCAAUAUUCAUCAGGAUUUAUUUGGGGGAGAGGGGUUUGCAGUAAUAUUUUAUGUAAGGUAAAGAAGUAGAUAGCCAUUUAAUUUCAUUUCAUUUAUUAUACAGUUAGACCCUUUUAUGUAAGAAUG
rnacentral:lncRNA from 1 species